GGGUCAGUAGGUUGGUCGUGCCACCGGUACGUACUGGUCUCACUGAUUCCUCCUUCCUGAAGAACCGUGAUGCAAUUAAUUUGGUGUUGCGGGGAAACAGGACUGUUACUUUGAAAAAAUUAGAGUGUUUAAAGCAAGCUAACGCUUGAAUACAUUAGCAUGGAAUAAUGGAAUAGGACGAUCGAUCCCAUUUUGUUGGUUUCUAGGAUUGACGUA
rnacentral:rRNA from 1 species